CCUACGGGAGGCAGCAGUAGGGAAUCUUCCACAAUGGGCGAAAGCCUGAUGGAGCAACGUCGCGUGGGUGAAGAAGGUCCUCGGAUCGUAAAACCCUGUUGUUAGAGAAGAAAGUGCGUGAGAGUAACUGUUCACGUUUCGACGGUAUCUAACCAGAAAGCCACGGCUAACUACGUGACAGCAGCCGCGGUAAUACGUAGGUGGCAAACGUUAUCCGGAUUUAUUGGGUGUAAAGGGAACGGAGGCGGUCUUUUAAGUCUGAUGUGAAAGCUUUCGGCUUAACCGGAGUAGUGCAUUGGAAACUGGGAGACUUGAGUGCAGAAGAGGAGAGUGGAACUCCAGGUGUAGCGGUGAAAUGCGUAGAUAUAAGGAAGAACACCAGUGGCGAAGGCGGCUCUCUGGUCUGUAACUGACGCUGAGGUUCGAAAGCGUGGGUAGCAAACAGGAUUAGAUACCCGUGUAGUC
rnacentral:rRNA from 1 species